GGUUAAGCGACUAAGCGUACACGGUGGAUGCCCUGGCAGUCAGAGGCGAUGAAGGACGUGCUAAUCUGCGAAAAGCGUCGGUAAGGUGAUAUGAACCGUUAUAACCGGCGAUGUCCGAAUGGGGAAACCCAGUGCAAUUCGUUGCACUAUCGUUAACUGAAUACAUAGGUUAACGAGGCGAACCGGGGGAACUGAAACAUCUAAGUACCCCGAGGAAAAGAAAUCAACCGAGAUUCCCCCAGUAGCGGCGAGCGAACGGGGAGCAGCCCAGAGUCUGAAUCAGCUUGUGUGUUAGUGGAACGGUCUGGAAAGUCCGACGGUACAGGGUGAUAGUCCCGUACACCAAAAUGCACAGGCUGUGAACUCGAAGAGUAGGGCGGGACACGUGGUAUCCUGUCUGAAUAUGGGGGGACCAUCCUCCAAGGCUAAAUACUCCUGACUGACCGAUAGUGAACCAGUACCGUGAGGGAAAGGCGAAAAGAACCCCGGCGAGGGGAGUGAAAAAGAACCUGAAACCGUGUACGUACAAGCAGUGGGAGCACCUUCGGGUGUGACUGCGUACCUUUUGUAUAAUGGGUCAGCGACUUAUAUUCUGUAGCAAGGUUAACCGUAUAGGGGAGCCGCAGGGAAACCGAGUCUUAACUGGGCGUUAAGUUGCAGGGUAUAGACCCGAAACCCGGUGAUCUAGCCAUGGGCAGGUUGAAGGUUGGGUAACACUAACUGGAGGACCGAACCGACUAAUGUUGAAAAAUUAGCGGAUGACUUGUGGCUGGGGGUGAAAGGCCAAUCAAACCGGGAGAUAGCUGGUUCUCCCCGAAAGCUAUUUAGGUAGCGCCUCGUGAACUCAUCUUCGGGGGUAGAGCACUGUUUCGGCUAGGGGGUCAUCCCGACUUACCAACCGAUGCAAACUACGAAUACCGAAGAAUGUUAUCACGGGAGACACACGGCGGGUGCUAACGUCCGUCGUGAAGAGGGAAACAACCCAGACCGCCAGCUAAGGUCCCAAAGUCAUGGUUAAGUGGGAAACGAUGUGGGAAGGCACAGACAGCCAGGAUGUUGGCUUAGAAGCAGCCAUCAUUUAAAGAAAGCGUAAUAGCUCACUGGUCGAGUCGGCCUGCGCGGAAGAUGUAACGGGGCUAAACCAUGCACCGAAGCUGCGGCAGCGACACUAUGUGUUGUUGGGUAGGGGAGCGUUCUGUAAGCCUGCGAAGGUGUGCUGUGAGGCAUGCUGGAGGUAUCAGAAGUGCGAAUGCUGACAUAAGUAACGAUAAAGCGGGUGAAAAGCCCGCUCGCCGGAAGACCAAGGGUUCCUGUCCAACGUUAAUCGGGGCAGGGUGAGUCGACCCCUAAGGCGAGGCCGAAAGGCGUAGUCGAUGGGAAACAGGUUAAUAUUCCUGUACUUGGUGUUACUGCGAAGGGGGGACGGAGAAGGCUAUGUUAGCCGGGCGACGGUUGUCCCGGUUUAAGCAUGUAGGCUGGUUGUCCAGGCAAAUCCGGAUAAUCAAGGCUGAGGUGUGAUGACGAGGCACUACGGUGCUGAAGUAACAAAUGCCCUGCUUCCAGGAAAAGCCUCUAAGCAUCAGGUAACAUCAAAUCGUACCCCAAACCGACACAGGUGGUCAGGUAGAGAAUACCAAGGCGCUUGAGAGAACUCGGGUGAAGGAACUAGGCAAAAUGGUGCCGUAACUUCGGGAGAAGGCACGCUGGUGUGUAGGUGAAGUCCCUGCGGAUGGAGCUGAGACCAGUCGAAGAUACCAGCUGGCUGCAACUGUUUAUUAAAAACACAGCACUGUGCAAACACGAAAGUGGACGUAUACGGUGUGACGCCUGCCCGGUGCCGGAAGGUUAAUUGAUGGGGUUAUCCGUAAGGAGAAGCUCUUGAUCGAAGCCCCGGUAAACGGCGGCCGUAACUAUAACGGUCCUAAGGUAGCGAAAUUCCUUGUCGGGUAAGUUCCGACCUGCACGAAUGGCGUAAUGAUGGCCAGGCUGUCUCCACCCGAGACUCAGUGAAAUUGAACUCGCUGUGAAGAUGCAGUGUACCCGCGGCAAGACGGAAAGACCCCGUGAACCUUUACUAUAGCUUGACACUGAACAUUGAGCCUUGAUGUGUAGGAUAGGUGGGAGGCUUUGAAGCGUGGACGCCAGUCUGCGUGGAGCCAACCUUGAAAUACCACCCUUUAAUGUUUGAUGUUCUAACGUUGGCCCCUGACCGGGGUUGCGGACAGUGUCUGGUGGGUAGUUUGACUGGGGCGGUCUCCUCCCAAAGCGUAACGGAGGAGCACGAAGGUUAGCUAAUCCUGGUCGGACAUCAGGAGGUUAGUGCAAUGGCAUAAGCUAGCUUGACUGCGAGCGUGACGGCGCGAGCAGGUGCGAAAGCAGGUCAUAGUGAUCCGGUGGUUCUGAAUGGAAGGGCCAUCGCUCAACGGAUAAAAGGUACUCCGGGGAUAACAGGCUGAUACCGCCCAAGAGUUCAUAUCGACGGCGGUGUUUGGCACCUCGAUGUCGGCUCAUCACAUCCUGGGGCUGAAGUAGGUCCCAAGGGUAUGGCUGUUCGCCAUUUAAAGUGGUACGCGAGCUGGGUUUAGAACGUCGUGAGACAGUUCGGUCCCUAUCUGCCGUGGGCGCUGGAGAAUUGAGGGGGGCUGCUCCUAGUACGAGAGGACCGGAGUGGACGCAUCACUGGUGUUCGGGUUGUCAUGCCAAUGGCACUGCCCGGUAGCUAAAUGCGGAAGAGAUAAGUGCUGAAAGCAUCUAAGCACGAAACUUGCCCCGAGAUGAGUUCUCCCUGAGACUUUAAGUCUCCUGAAGGAACGUUGAAGACGACGACGUUGAUAGGCCGGGUGUGUAAGCGCAGCGAUGCGUUGAGCUAACCGGUACUAAUGAACCGUGAGGCUUAACCUU
rnacentral:rRNA from 1 species